rnacentral:rRNA from 1 species
CCUACGGGGGGCUGCAGUGGGGAAUUUUGCGCAAUGGGGGAAACCCUGACGCAGCAACGCCGCGUGGAGGAUGAAAUCCCUUGGGAUGUAAACUCCUUUCGAUGGGGAAGCGGUACCCAUAGAAGAAGCCCCGGCUAACUUCGUGCCAGCAGCCGCGGUAAUACGAGGGGGGCAAGCGUUGUUCGGAAUUAUUGGGCGUAAAGGGUGCGUAGGCGGUUUGACAAGUCUUAUGUGAAAUCUAUGGGCUCAACCCAUAGUCUGCAUGGGAAACUGUCGGGCUUGAGUAUUGGAGAGGUGAGUGGAAUUUCCGGUGUAGCGGUGAAAUGCGUAGAUAUCGGAAGGAACACCUGUGGCGAAAGCGGCUCACUGGACAAACUGACGCUGAUGCACGAAAGCUAGGGGAGCAAACAGGAUUAGAUACCCGUGUAGUC